rnacentral:rRNA from 1 species
AAAGAUUAAGCCAUGCAUGUCUAAGUAUAAGCAAUUAUACAGCGAAACUGCGAAUGGCUCAUUAAAUCAGUUAUAGUUUAUUUGAUAGUGCCUUACUACAUGGAUAACCGUGGUAAUUCUAGAGCUAAUACAUGCUAAAACUCCCGACUUCGGAAGGGAGGUGCUUAUUAGAUUAAAAGCCAAUGCCCUUCGGGGCUCGCUGGUGAUUCAUAAUAAUCUCUCGAAUCGCAUGGCCUUGCGCCGGCGAUGGUUCAUUCAAAUUUCUGCCCUAUCAACUUUCGACGGCUGGGUAGUGGCCAGCCAUGGUGA